GACGAACGCUGGCGGCGUGCCUAACACAUGCAAGUCGAGCGGAGACAAUAGCAAUAUUGUUUUAGCGGCGGACGGGUGAGUAACGCGUGGGCAACCUGCCUUGGACUGGGGGAUAACACAGGGAAACUUGUGCUAAUACCGCAUAACAUCACGAGAGGACAUCCUUUUGUGAUCAAAGGAGUAAUCCGGUCUGAGAUGGGCCCGCGUCCGAUUAGCUAGUUGGUAGUGUAACAGACUACCAAGGCGACGAUCGGUAGCCGAACUGAGAGGUUGAUCGGCCACAUUGGGACUGAGACACGGCCCAGACUCCUACGGGUGGCUG
rnacentral:rRNA from 1 species